GCUGAGUUGGGUGGAGAAGCAGCAUGCUCUCCUUCCUCCAAAUGAAGGCAAGGGGUACACGGCUUUCAUCUUCGCGGAAGAUGUCAUAAAAGCACAUUUCAAAAAUUACCAUUGGCACCCAGUUUCCUAUUUGAUUAUGUUCUGGCACAAAGCCCUGCCAGCAAUACAGAGCCUCUAUUUGGGCCUCUCCAAUUGGAAGAUAAUCGCAUAUCCCACCUACCUUUCAACACUCCCAACCCCCACAAGGCAGCCAUCUUGGAAGCCACAAGGAAUAAUUCAAGUGAUGUAAGAAAGACGGUGAUUUCCAUUUUAGUUUACCUCGGGCAAACUCAUCUCGGGCGCCCCUUGAAACAGCGACACCCAGAGCACCGGGAGUCAGAAGCACCAGAUACCAAUUACAAGCUGGGAACUAAAUACCAUAAUUAACGAGAGAUACACUUUCAUCUAAAAGGAGUCCAAAAUGUUGCUGGAGAAAGAAAAAAGUCAAGUGAAACUCCAUAAUUAUAAUAAAUUGUGCCGUUUCCCCC
rnacentral:lncRNA from 1 species